GAUGAACGCUGGCGGCGUGCCUAAUACAUGCAAGUCAAGCGAACAGACGAGGAGCUUGCUCCUCUGACGUUAGCGGCGGACGGGUGAGUAACACGUGGAUAACCUACCUAUAAGACUGGGAUAACUUCGGGAAACCGGAGCUAAUACCGGAUAAUAUAUUGAACCGCAUGGUUCAAUAGUGAAAGACGGUUUUGCUGUCACUUAUAGAUGGAUCCGCGCCGCAUUAGCUAGUUGGUAAGGUAACGGCUUACCAAGGCAACGAUGCGUAGCCGACCUGAGAGGGUGAUCGGCCACACUGGAACUGAGACACGGUCCAGACUCCUACGGGAGGCAGCAGUAGGGAAUCUUCUGCAAUGGGCGAAAGCCUGACGGAGCAACGCCGCGUGAGUGAUGAAGGUCUUCGGAUCGUAAAACUCUGUUAUUAGGGAAGAACAAAUGUGUAAGUAACUAUGCACGUCUUGACGGUACCUAAUCAGAAAGCCACGGCUAACUACGUG
rnacentral:rRNA from 1 species